rnacentral:lncRNA from 1 species
AAUAGCUAUUAAAAUGGGUAAGUUAGGUUUGAUAUAAAUGGGAUAAACAUUUACCAGUGUACUUGUUAGAAAGAAUAUCUGAGUCAUUGUAAGUUAAACUGGAACAUCAAUUGCCAAAUAUAAAUUCAAAUAGGCUUUUCCUUUUUUCUUUCACUGAGGAUUGAACCCCAGGACACUCUACCACUGAGCUACAUCCCCAACUCUUUAAUUCUUUUUAUUUUGAGAGAGUCUCUCUAAUUUGUUGAGGUUGACCUUGAACUUGCAAUCCUUUUCUAUCAACAUUCGAAGUAGCCGAGAUUACAGGAGUUUGCCACUGUGCCUGGCUCUUGACUUUUUGAUUUCUGUAGGAAUAUAUGUAUUGUAUAAUAUGUUUGUGUUAUGUAUGUAUAGAAAUAUGUAUGUGUUCAUAUAUAUAUAUAUAUAUAUAUAUAUAUAUAUAUAUAUAUAUAUAUAUAUAUACAUGUGGUGAGCCGCUUCUGCCGUUUCUGCAGACUAUGGUCGCCAUUACAAGAUGACGCUGGCUCCGCUGUGGUCUGUGACAAACAACUCCUUAUCUGGGAAAAUUGGCACAUGAUUUUUCACCACCCUGUGAGAAAGCUCCACGCGGCAGCUUUGCAAUGGGGCUUGGGAUGCUUUAUUAAGGCUGGGAGGGGCAUCAGAGAGAGAGAAGAAGAAAUAUCAAGGGCCUGAAUAAACUGCUGAAAGAAG